GAGAAAUUGGGCUGCUCUCUAAUUCCUGGGGUUUGGCUUCUAUAGGAGGGAUAUUGAUUGCUGACCAUCUGUUCAUGUGGCCUGCCACAUUUCCUGGAACACUUGCAGGGAGAAGAGGAUUCUCUGAGAGUCCGCGCUCCAAAGUCAUGCACCCUGCGACUGAACACCAGCAGUAGCAGAGUUUCCCGUGCUGCAUAUCUUCAGUAAUACUUGGUGUUGUGACUGCUUUUAAUCUGACCAAAGUGGAAAACGGUACUUUAUUGAUUUAAAAUUACAUCUCACUGACAGCUAGUGAUGUUGGA
rnacentral:lncRNA from 1 species